CCAUGAAUCCAGGCAGUGACGCAGAGCACAGACCUGCGAGCGUGCCCAAGCUGGCUAGGGGGAAGGAGGAGAAAGAAGGCCCUGGAGCUGCCCCAGCACAGCAGCCUGAAGAGGUGGAGCAGUUCCAGCCACUGCAGAAGGGUGCAGCCGUGCAGCGCACACGAGAGCAGGAACGCACCCGUGGCCGCUUCCGCAGAACAGCGCAGGUACCUGCAGCCAUCCCCACCUGGGCUGGGCCUGCUGGCACUGCUCAGCCCAGCACUGUGCUCCGAGCACUCCAUGCAACAUCCCGGGCUUCUUGCCCUUCUGCUACAGAUGGUUUGCAAAUUCAUGAAGAGGAUUCGGGAGGAAGAGAGCAGCGUCGUGGGCACUGUGGUCAGAGCGUACUCUCCCAUCUUCAAAACCAAGACCAGUGCUGCCCUGCUGGAUAUGCUUGUGGAGGAGGGUCCUUCCAGCCCAAAGCAAGUGCCGGCCAUGGUGAGGUACAUCCACCAGUGGCUGGUGGCCAAUGAGUUUCCUGAGUACAAUCUGUACAGGCCCCUUCUGGAUCUGACAGAGGCACAGCCCUGUGACGUGGUGAUGGCUCUCCUGCGUGUGGCCCCAGUGUGUGACAGAGCUGCUUUGGCCAUGUGGAAGAGCAUCAUGUGCUCGCCCAGGACUGCAGAGCCGGCCAUGCUCGCACUCCUCGAGGUGCUGGGGAGCUGGCCAGAGCACAGCACGUGCACCUCCGAUGGGGACCACACGGCUGUCCUUGCCCUGGCUGUGAGUUUCUGCCUUUGCUGGCCCCAAGGCCACCCCUCCAGCAGCUCUCCAUCCUCCCUCCCCCACGGCG
rnacentral:lncRNA from 1 species